UACGUAGGGUGCGAGCGUUAAUCGGAAUUACUGGGCGUAAAGCGUGCGCAGGCGGUUUUGUAAGCCAGAUGUGAAAGCCCCGGGCUCAACCUGGGAACUGCGAUGGAAACUGGCGGGCUUGAGUGUGGCAGAGGGGGGUGGAAUUCCGCGUGUAGCAGUGAAAUGCGUAGAGAUGCGGAGGAACACCGAUGGCGAAGGCAGCCCCCUGGGCCAACACUGACGCUCAGGCACGAAAGCGUGGGGAGCAAACAGG
rnacentral:rRNA from 1 species